GCCUCCGCUUUUUCGGGAGACUGCCUACGCCUACGUUGCACUACGGCACUAGCAAGUGGGUCAACAGUAAGUUUAUGACAAGCGAUGUUUGGAUCCAGCCCGGGCAUGUCGGCAGCGUGCCAUGCGAACAAGUCAGCAUUUUCUCUAAGGCAGGCUUUCAGCUGCUUCCUCGCCAACUCGGGGAGCCCCGUCCCAAUCUUGACCCCUUUUUCUGGAUCCUCGCCAAACUGGACUAUCUCGAAGUCUCCAUCUGGAAUGGGGCGGUAAUGUUCUUUACUUGCCUCGUCAUCCUCCUUCUCCUCCUUCCUUAGCUUUUUCUCCUCCUUAUGUUCUUUCUUGGAGGUGCGGCUGUCAAGAUCAACAGAGCUCACACUUGGACCGGGCAG
rnacentral:lncRNA from 1 species